CAACAGACUGGCGUCCUGUCCAGGGUGUAUCCUGUCUCACGCCCUAUGACUGCUGGGACAGGAUCCAGCCCCCGUAACCCUCAAAUGGAGUAAGCAGGUAUGGGAACUG